rnacentral:tRNA from 1 species
CCUCGUAAGGCGCAAUUGGCUAAGCGCGUCAGACUGUUAAUCUGGAGGCUGUAAGUUCGAUCCUUACCGAGGG